AGUAACAAGUCAAAAAUAGGCUGCUAAUACCGCAUAAGCGCACAGAGCUGCAUGGCUCAGUGUGAAAAACUCCGGUGGUAUAAGAUGGACCCGCGUUGGAUUAGCUAGUUGGUGGGGUAACGGCCCACCAAGGCGACGAUCAGUAGCCGGUCUGAGAGGAUGAACGGCCACACUGGAACUGAGACACGGUCCAGACUCCUACGGGAGGCAGCAUG
rnacentral:rRNA from 1 species